rnacentral:rRNA from 1 species
AGCACAACAGCUCGCCCGAACUGUCAAGUUAAGCAACGAUUUGGGCCUGACUGGUACUUGGAUCGGAAACGGCCUGGGAGUCCCAGGGUGCAGUGAGCA